UAAGAACGUACCAUCUAAGCCGAUGAUGGGUCUGCAGUUCUGUUUCCAUGACCUCUUUAGCUUCUCAAAACAAAUAUAGAUUUCCGAGAACAUUUCCUCUCCAUCCUCUCUUCUGAUAGUGUUAAUCUCCACGGUGGUGUUUUUAUUUGUCCUGAAAAAUACAGUGCAAACUGCUCGUUAGUUUAUGCUAGGAUUUUAUGAACAUUUAAGGUAAGAGAAACACACUUUGCCUCUUAAUUUCAGCCUCAUAAUCUCUUAACCGUGCAAACUGCUCGUUAGUUUCAGCUUGGAGUUUAUCAAAGACCAUUCUCCUAGCAACUUGGGAUUUUGGAGGUGAGAUGAUGAUGUUGUACCUCCUC
rnacentral:lncRNA from 1 species